GCAUUGUGGCUCCUUUCUGAUCUAUUG
rnacentral:rRNA from 1 species